GUGGGGAAUUUUGGACAAUGGGCGCAAGCCUGAUCCAGCAAUGCCGCGUGCAGGAAGAAGGCCUUCGGGUUGUAAACUGCUUUUGUACGGAACGAAACGGCUCUGGUUAAUACCUGGGGCUAAUGACAGUACCGUAAGAAUAAGCACCGGCUAACUACGUGCCAGCAGCCGCGGUAAUACGUAGGGUGCAAGCGUUAAUCGGAAUUACUGGGCGUAAAGCGUGCGCAGGCGGUUGUGUAAGACAGGCGUGAAAUCCCCGGGCUCAACCUGGGAAUUGCGCUUGUGACUGCACGGCUGGAGUGCGGCAGAGGGGGAUGGAAUUCCGCGUGUAGCAGUGAAAUGCGUAGAUAUGCGGAGGAACACCGAUGGCGAAGGCAAUCCCCUGGGCCUGCACUGACGCUCAUGCACGAAAGCGUGGGGAGCAAACAGGAUUAGAUACCCUGGUAGUCCACGCCCUAAACGAUGUCAACUGGUUGUUGGGUCUCUUCUGACUCAGUAACGAAGCUAACGCGUGAAGUUGACCGCCUGGGGAGUACGCCGCAAGGUU
rnacentral:rRNA from 1 species